rnacentral:rRNA from 1 species
GUUUACUGCCAUACCACCCUGAACGUGCCCGAUCUCGUCUGAUCUCAGGAGCUAAGCAGGGUCGGGCCUAGUUAGUACUUGGAUGGGAUUCCGCCAGGGAAUACCGGGUGCUGUUUCUU